rnacentral:misc_RNA from 1 species
CCGAAGACUGACCAAUUGACAAUAACGGCAAUUUCCCUCACUCUCCGAACGAAGACUUGUCUCCACGAAUAUAAAAGACCUGGUGCCGCUAGAGAGUGGAGUAGUUUUUCCUAAACAGCGUCACCGUGAGAGCUUCGAGCGUUGCCGACGAUUAAAGAGUAUAAGAGUCCCGUUGACCGCGGAUUCGUUAUCGGAUCUAAGACUAUCGUCAUUCGCAUCGCGAGUACCUAACCGCCGCAGUUUGUUUGUCAAACCUCACAUCUCCAUACUUGUGUCAAUAAACUCUGGAUCAUACCUUGACAAUGGCUACUACUGGUGAAGAUUCGUUACCUGCCCACACCUCCAAUCCUACUGGCUCUCCGACAUAUAUUUUUCUCAAAAUGUUGAAAAUUUGUUCGUAAAAAAUCAUCUUACAAAAUUUCAAAAUUUGUUUUAUAAACGUAAUGACAGAUUAUAUUAAAAAUAAUAAAAAAUUGUAAUAACAAUUUUUA